rnacentral:rRNA from 1 species
UAGGGAAUAUUGGACAAUGGGCGCAAGCCUGAUCCAGCCAUGCCGCGUGGAGGAAGGAGGCCCUCUGGGUUGUAAACUCCUUUUGUCGGGGAAUAAACCGCCGCUAUACGCGGCGCUGAAGGUACCCGAAGAAUAAGCACCGGCUAACUCCGUGCCAGCAGCCGCGGUAAUACGGAGGGUGCAAGCGUUGUCCGGAUUCAUUGGGUUUAAAGGGUGCGUAGGCGGCUCAGUAAGUCAGCGGUGAAAUCCCAGGGCUCAACCCUGGAAUUGCCGUUGAUACUGUUGGGCUUGAGUCCGACCGAGGUCGUUGGAACGCGCAGUGUAGCGGUGAAAUGCUUAGAUAUUGCGCAGAACACCGAUUGCGAAGGCAGAUGGCUAGGUCACGACUGACGCUGAGGCA